rnacentral:tRNA from 1 species
AGUAAUGGCUCAGUGGUAGAGUGCUUGCCUCGUGUGUGUGAGGCACUGGGUUCAAUCCCCAGCACCA